rnacentral:tRNA from 1 species
UAUAGCUUAGUGGUAGAGUGCUUGCCUUGCAUGCAGGAAAACCUAGGUUCGAUCCCUAGUA